rnacentral:rRNA from 1 species
UACGGAGGGUGCAAGCGUUAUCCGGAUUCACUGGGUUUAAAGGGUGCGUAGGCGGGCAGGUAAGUCAGUGGUGAAAUCUCCGAGCUUAACUCGGAAACUGCCGUUGAUACUAUUUGUCUUGAAUAUUGUGGAGGUAAGCGGAAUAUGUCAUGUAGCGGUGAAAUGCUUAGAUAUGACAUAGAACACCAAUUGCGAAGGCAGCUUACUAUGGUAUGAUUGACGCUGAGGCACGAAAGCGUGGGGAGCAAACAGG